rnacentral:rRNA from 1 species
ACGCUGGCGGCGUGCUUAAUACAUGCAAGUCAACUCGACUUUAGAUAGCAAUAUCGAAAGUAGGGUGGCGCACGGGUGCGUAACGCGUAGGUAAUCUGCCCUGAGGUCUGACAUAACCCGUCGAAAGGCGGGCUAACAUCAGAUGAUAUAUAAUCACGACAUCGUGGAAAUAUCAAAUCUUCGGAGCCUUGGGAUGAGCCUGCGUCUGAUUAGGUAGUUGGCGGAGUAAUAGCCCACCAAGCCUACGAUCAGUAGCUGGUCUGAGAGGAUGAUCAGCCACACUGGAACUGAGACACGGUCCAGACUCCUACGGGAGGCAGCAGUAAGGAAUAUUGCUCAAUGGGGGGAAACCCUGAAGCAGCAACGCCGCGUGAAGGAUGAAAUACUUUGUAUGUAAACUUCUGUAAGAUGGGAAAAAUAUUCUCCUCGGGAGAAUUGAUUGUACCAUCAGAGUAAGCCCCGGCUAACUACGUG